AUUGAACGCUGGCGGCAGGCCUACCACAUGCAAGUCGAACGCGUGGCGGACGGGUGAGUAAUGUCUGGGAAACUGCCCGAUGGAGGGGGAUAACUACUGGAAACGGUAGCUAAUACCGCAUAACCUCGGAUUUGCCCAGAUGGGAUUAGCUAGUAGGGGGGGUAACGGGUCACCUAGGCGACGAUCCCUAGCUGGUCUGAGAGGGUGACCAGCCACACUGGAACGGAGACACGGUCCAGACUCCUACGGGAGGCAGCAGUGGGGAAUAUUGCACAAUGGUCGGAAGCCUGAUGCAGCCAUGCCGCGUGUAUGAAGAGGGCCGUCGGGUUGUAAAGUACUUUCAGCGAGGAGGCGUUACUCGCAGAAGAAGCACCGGCUAACUCCGUGCCAGCAGCCGCGGUAAUUC
rnacentral:rRNA from 1 species